GGACAGAUGGGAGCUUGCUCCCUGAUGUUAGCGGCGGACGGGUGAGUAACACGUGGGUAACCUGCCUGUAAGACUGGGAUAACUCCGGGAAACCGGGGCUAAUACCGGAUGGUUGUUUGAACCGCAUGGUUCAAACAUAAAAGGUGGCUUCGGCUACCACUUACAGAUGGACCCGCGGCGCAUUAGCUAGUUGGUGAGGUAACGGCUCACCAAGGCAACGAUGCGUAGCCGACCUGAGAGGGUGAUCGGCCACACUGGGACUGAGACACGGCCCAGACUCCUACGGGAGGCAGCAGUAGGGAAUCUUCCGCAAUGGACGAAAGUCUGACGGAGCAACGCCCCGUGAGUGAUGAAGGUUUUCGGAUCGUAAAGCUCUGUUGUUAGGGAAGAACAAGUACCGUUCGAAUAGGGCGGUACCUUGACGGUACCUAACCAGAAAGCCACGGCUAACUACGUGCCAGCAGCCGCGGUAAUACGUAGGUGGCAAGCGUUGUCCGGAAUUAUUGGGCGUAAAGGGCUCGCAAGCGGUUUCUUAAGUCUGAUGUGAAAGCCCCCGGCUCAACCGGGGAGGGUCAUUGGAAACUGGGGAACUUGACUGCAGAAGAAGAGAGUGGAAUUCCACGUGUAGCGGUGAAAUGCGUAAAAAUGUGGAAGAACACCAGUGGCGAAUGCCACGCUGGGGUCCGUAGGUGACUCAUCCGA
rnacentral:rRNA from 1 species